UAGGGAAUCUUCCGCAAUGGACGCAAGUCUGACGGAGCAACGCCGCGUGAGUGAAGAAGGAUUUCGGUUCGUAAAACUCUGUUGUUAGAGAAGAACAGCGCAUAGAGUAACUGUUAUGCGUGUGACGGUAUCUAACCAGAAAGCCACGGCUAACUACGUGCCAGCAGCCGCGGUAAUACGUAGGUGGCAAGCGUUGUCCGGAUUUAUUGGGCGUAAAGCGAGCGCAGGCGGUCAAUUAAGUCUGAUGUGAAAGCCCCCGGCUCAACCGGGGAGGGUCAUUGGAAACUGGUUGACUGGAGUGCAGAAGAGGAGAGUGGAAUUCCAUGUGUAGCGGUGAAAUGCGUAGAUAUAUGGAGGAACACAAGUGGCGAAGGCGACUCUCUGGUCUGUAACUGACGCUGAGGUUCGAAAGCGUGGGUAGCAAACAGG
rnacentral:rRNA from 1 species